UCCUAGCUGCCAACACCCCCCUCCCUCGCACUCCCCGCUGGGUAGAAGAGCCGUGGUGCCUACACCUUCGCCCACUGGCAGAGCACCAGGUGGUUGAUCUCCGAGCAUUGUUGGCUCGUUGACGAUGGAGAAGAGAAAGGGCCUCGCUCGGCGUUGGGCGGUGGAACUCCCAGAUGCCUCCUCCUCCCCUGUGGCCCUGUCGUUCUUAACCCGUCUGGUUUUGCUAGAUCAGCGCCCAUGGGUCUUCUUCCUUUGAUACUGUCACAACCUUCCAAAGUAUUCUCAUUGACUUUGAAAGAUCAGCUUAAGACCCAGCUGUUCAGCAUGCUCUACAGGUAUUCAACAAUUGCGAAAGGGCCUCUAGCUGAGUUGGUUAGGUGGUCUGAGUAGCACUCCUCAGGUCCUGGGUUCGACUCCCCGUGGGAGCGAAUUUCAGGCUGUGGUUAAAAAAAUCCCCUCGUCUGUCCCAUGCCAAAGCACAGGUCUAAGGCUCAGCCCCGGUCGUGGUCGUUCUCACAUGGGCUUCGAUGCCGCUGUGUAUGGGUGGGGCAGGGGUUCGGGGGUUUUCUCGACCUGUGUGAGAAGGUCUUCUUCUUAAUUCAAUGCCCGGGGGCUGUCUUACCCCUCGCAGGUCGAGGCUUGCCCUACCUGAUGAUGGGACCAUCACCACUGUUCGACCUAAGCCUGCAACGCUGGACUUCCUUGGGCUUGGCAUUGGAGGGACCAUGGAUGGCUCCACGGCCAACAAUGGCCUCCCGGCAUUAAUGGUUGGAGGAUAGCUGGAUAUGGGGUCUUCGGCACAGGUGCCUGCGUUGGGAAGAUGCCAAGAGGAAGACCAACAGACGUACGAUCCUGUGAAGUUUUCUCCUUUUUUCUGCAAUGCCUCGGCUUGUCCAUUCUUUCA